UACAGAGGUCUUAAGCGUUGUUCGGAUUCAUUGGGCGUAAAGGGUGCGUAGGUGGCGCUGUAAGUCGGGUGUGAAAUUUCGGAGCUUAACUCCGAAACUGCAUUCGAUACUGCGGUGCUUGAGGACUGGAGAGGAGACUGGAAUUCAUGGUGUAGCAGUGAAAUGCGUAGAGAUCAUGAGGAAGACCAGUGGCGAAGGCGGGUCUCUGGACAGUUCCUGACACUGAGGCACGAAGGCCAGGGGAGCAAACGGG
rnacentral:rRNA from 1 species